GGGGCAUUAGCGCAGUUGGGAGCGCGCAACACUGGCAGUGUUGAGGUCAGGGGUUCGAAUCCCCUAUGCUCCACCA
rnacentral:tRNA from 2 species